CACUCCAGCCUGGGCAACAACAUCAAAACUCUGUCUACUAAAUUGAAUAUCUGCACACCCUAUGAGCCAGCAAGUCCACUUCUAGGUUUACAGCCAACAGAAAUGCAUGCAGAUGUACCAAGAAACAAGUACAGUACUCAGCAGCCAUUGCUCUUUCCAUAUGUCCAUCAACAAGAGAAUGGAUGAAUAUAUGUUUAUAAAAUGGAGUGCUAUAUGACAAUGAAGGGGAAGCAAACUAUUAAUACCACUACACACAAUGACAUGAGUCUCGAGUCCAAGAAACCAGACCCGAGUGUGUAUAAACUGUGACUACAUUUAUAUAAAGUUCAAAAGCAAACAAAACUAAUGCAUGGUAGUCAGGAGACUGGCUACUUUUGGGAGGGUUUGGUCCCAGGGAGACCCACAAG
rnacentral:lncRNA from 10 species